UGGUGCUCCUGUGUCUCUUCUCAACUCCACAGCCCAGCCCUCAGCUAAGGCUCUAUGAGCCAGUUGAUAAAUUACGGCUCCUUGUGGAGCUCAGCUUCUCUCUGGGAUGAACAGUGUGCAUCGUAUCCCCUCAGGUUCACUGCCUCUCUCCCUCUUCCUGAAUCUGGGAUAUAAUACAGCCAUGCAUUGUAUAGCAUUGUUUUAGUCAAUGGCAGGACAUAGUGAUCUAAGACUGUACCUCUUAGUGACAUGGAAGCCACUUCUGUUUGUGAUGUAUACUUUUUAGUGUUUGCACAGGGCUGGUCACAUAGCAGCACAAAGCACAGAGUUGGAUGCUAGCCAUUAGUGACUGCUUAAAAUCUGACAAAACUCAAAACCAGAUGGAGGCUACAUAGUGGCCCUCUUAGGUCUGGUAAAGAAACUUGUGUUUAGGCCUACAAGUCCCUGAGACAUGUGCAAUAGAAGCAAAAAAAUGAGCAACCUUCCUUCUCUUACCAGCUCGGGUAGAAUUCUCCAGCUGGCCUCCUGGGUCCCAGCACCAUGCUGGCUCUGUGAAGGCUUCAUUCCCUUACUUUGCAUGUUCUCUGAUACUGUGGGUCCAAGACUACUUGGCUCCAGUCAGCCCAUGGGCUUCUGGAUUUUUCCAACUCUAAACGAACACAGAACUUUGACCAGAGCAGCUCUGGGAUGAGCUCGCAUCACUUUCUAUCCACCUCAGGCUUGCCUCCCAGCUCCAGACUUAAGGAGGGGUGAAAAUGCCAGGCGCUCUCUUCCAGCAUUCAGUGAGCAUGUGCCACCUGCCUGCUGGAGGCAGGGACAAGCCUCCAAAGGAGGUCAUACAAAGCAGGCAAGCAGGACUCUGAAAGGCUCUCCACCUCAGUCAAUCCUAAGCAUGUUUCCACAGCCAGCCCCACUACUGCAGGCAGAUUCAACAUGAAAGAAGUCAUCCACACCUUUGCCCCAAACAGAAAGCUGCCCUGGUAAGGCACUGUGCAGAAAGGAUUUCUUUAUGGCUUUUUCUUUCUUUUUUUUCUCAAGCUUUGGCAAUUAAGCAGUGAUUUCACCACUGGAUCUUGUAACUGUUUCUAUUCCUUUGUUCCUUACUGUUGAUGCAAGGCUCACACCUUCUGUAUCCCAAAUUCUCACUUUCAGGGAUGUGACUGAUGUGUGCUUCUUAUGCCCGGUAGUCCAGACUGCCUAGCUCUCACCGUUCUCUGUGACACCUGUACCCAUCUGCAGGUCUUAUGCCUCUUCUGCAAUCUGUGGUGUCCUGGAAAUUUGUUUUGACUUUAGCUGGUCUGGACAGGGUCUAGAGUACUUCAGGCUGGCCUUGAAUUUGCUGUAUGGCCGAGGCUGGCCACAUACGCCCAAUCCUCCUGCCUUAGCAUUUCAGGUGCUAGGUUUAUAGCUCUGAGAUACCAGUGCUUCAGCCUGAUGACUUUUCUAUUCAUUCCCUCAUUCCACUAACCUCCAAUCCCAUCCCACUAAGGCCCCAUCUACCCCGUAACAUAGCUGGAGGUGUACUCAAUGGUCAUGGUUUUAACUGUUCUGUGUAAAGUGUGUCUGUUAAAUUUUAUCUGAAUUGAUUAAGACUUACAUAACAUUCUCCUCUUCCAGAGAACCUAAAACAUACAAAAGAAAUUUACCUGGUUAUUUAUGUAUUUAUUGGUAUGUAUUCACUGUACAUAGAAAUAGGUUUUACAAAAACAUUUCCAUUCAAGUAUAGAUAGCAUGCAUUUGGAUGGCAUCUACCCCACUUUCCCUUCUCCCACUGAUCCCCCUAAAUAGUUUCAAAUUCUGUAUGGUUUUUAAAAAAUGUAAACUAGCAUGCAAAAUAAUGGGUUUUAUUAUGGCAUUUUCACACACACCCUUUUCUGUUCUCUUGUCCCCUGAGCUCCAGCUUGUACCCUUUAGCACCAUAAGUCCCCCUCCAACCUAUCAUGUCAUGCUAUUUAUGAACAAUAACUAUUAUACAGACUUGCUUAAUUUAUUAACAGCCCCCUCCCACCAUACCUUAAAUAGGAAUUCUUUGGUGUUCUUUGCACUGUAGAGCAGUUCUGAUGUUCCUAUUUUAUACCCAGCUCUUUUGUCUUCUUGUUCUCUGUAGAGAUACACUGAGUAAGUGGUGGAGGAUGGAAAGCAAGGAGUGGGGUGAGUGUUAAUUCCAGCCUUUCUAGCAAUCAGCAUGAGGUUUCAAGGGGCCUCUGUGGACUAAGGGUCAGACAACUCUCCACCCACUGUGAGAGCCUCUUCAGAGUCCAGUAUACACUGGAGCAAGCAAGAAAAGAGCCUUCAAUACUUUAUGGCUUUCUACUUGUAAGUGAAGCUGUUGGGGCUGACAUUCAGGCAGGAUUGUACAGUGUGCUUUCAACUUUCUAGGGCCUUGAGACAUGUUUUGUUUGUCCCUCAUGCAAGCCUCUUGCUGUUCUACCCUGUGACACAUACAAUACAGCCCUGUGGUACUGCCAAGAUCCACCUAGCUGCAGAGCUGUUUGCCACUUGUUAAUCUUUCAGGUGAGGAAUUGAGCUGACAGAGUGAGCCAGGCCAGCCUCUGGAGUAUCCUCAAGGCUGAGAGCCUCUGGAGUAUCCUCAAGGCUGAGAAGUAUAAGGCCCCCCUGGGCAGACCCAGCCAGACUAGCACUGAGAGCUUGCACCAACAGAUCCUCCCUGGAGUGGCUUGACAGGCAGCCUGAGGCUGUGCAUUCAAGCCAAGUCUCACAUAGGCCUGUCCAGGUAAUGUACCAAUGUUUUGUGAAGUCACUCAACACCACAGCUGCCACCAGUGAAUAUGCAAGUUCUUGGAGAGUCAAUAAGACCACAAGCAGGGCGUUUUUGGAAGCUGGCAGCAGGGAACCUAACUGGUAUUCAGAGUUUAGGGUUGGAGAUACUGGAUACCCUAGAUAACUGGUGGUGCCUGACUCUGCUUCCUAAUGAGCAAAUGAUGGCAAAGCCUGCAUGUUUUUGAGAUAGUCUCUACAGUAGUUUGUAAUGGGCCACUGCUAGAAAAUUCAGAACGCAGAAAUUCGCAAAUGAUACAAACGAGAGCUUUCUUUACUCGGAGGCACUGGCUUCCCAGCAUGUCUUAUUGUAAUACCAAGAUGGUUAGGAUGACGUCUGGUCUGUAUGGCCCAUGCACUCUCUGUGUCAGAGAGAGCCGCUUUGUUAUAAUCUGAGACCACAGCUUACCUUUGUUGGUUGAGCUGCUUUGUUAGUGUUAUCAACAACUACCUCAGAGAACAGUUUACAAGGAGCGGAUUGAUUUUGCUCCCAGCUUGAGCAGAGUGUAGUCCACAAUGAGCUGGCUCCAUUGUUACUGGGCCAUGGUGAGGCACGGACUGUGGGGGAGGCGCACAGCAGAGCUGGUAGGUUUAGUUCAUGGCAGCUAUGAAGCACAGAAAGAGAAGCUCAAGGGGCAAGCUGUCGCCUCUUCCCUGCAUGCCCACACUUAUUAUGCAUCUUCUGCCCUGUGUUCAUCUGCUCUGGGAAUGCCAUCCCAGAGCACUCCCAGAGGUGAGCCUGAUUAACCCCAACACUGGCUCAUUUUACCAAUAAAUGGAGACAUUUUGUGCACAGAUCUAAAUGUCCCUGAACGUAACAAAGGUAUAGAAAACAUUUGGUUAGGUUCAGAAUAUUACCAAGCAUGCUCCGGGUUCUGGAAGACCACACCAUAGGGGUCACAGGUGUCCCGUCGCCCGCACGCCAAGUCUGAGUCUACAUUGCAGACCAUGCUAUUUUCAGCAAUUCUCUUUUUAGUAAGUCAUCUGACAGCUUCAUUCUGUCUUUUAGUUUCAAUGUGCCAAAGCCCAUGUGUAAGGAAAUACAUAUUAUUUGAUUGUGGAUUGAUUUCCUUCCCUUACUCCUCCUUUAUUCCAACUACAGAACCUCUGAGCUUUGUUUUUUUUUUUCUUCCUUCAGUUUUAUAUAUGUGUCAGACUUACUACAAAUUUCAUUUAGAGGUGGCUCUAGAAUGGCGGUCGGAGCUCCAAGAGUUGAACUAAUGAACGUUAGCCAUCAGUCCUUUCAGCUGUUCUGAGCAUCUGCUGCCACUCUGGAAGUGUGUCUACUGACCUACACUGCCCAUGGUCACACACCACAAGGGGCAGGGAACCCCUAGCUGGACUGAGUUCUACGUGAAAAGGUGACUGGGCUAUUGUGGCCUGAAGAAUAGAAACAGCCUGAAUCUGUUUUCUUCUUUGCCCCUGACACACAAUCAAGGAUAAUGAUGUUUGUUCUCCAAGCACAAGUUUGUUCCAUCACAUGUUCCUGGAAUAAAUCGACUAAAUGGGUAUGCUCCUGAGAAGUACCAUCACAUCACAGGCUUCCUGAGGGCCCAACCAUCGGCGUGCAGCCCGUAGCACCUCCAUACAGGCGAGCAAUGAAUUUAAUUGGAGGUACAAUGAUUUAGGUAUAAAAAAAAAAAUCUAAGAAAAAAAUCUAAGUAAAAGCUCAUUGAACUCAUAUGUCCCUUUGGUUAAAAAUAAAGGUGCUAAAUGACUGGUAAUCUUUCCUCUAAGGGAACUUAACUGUUGUAAAUGCCUAGGAGAGCCAUUAAGUGAAGGGUGCUAAGUGAAUGGUGGUAAGUGGGUUUCAUUUUGAUAGAAAAAAAAAAUGAACCUCAAGGGAGUGACUGGUUCUGAAGAACUUAACUGCCUGGCUCCAGUGUUUACAAACGUUGCUUCCUUUCAGUGUUGAAGAUACAAUCCGGCACCCAAGAAGCUCUGCCCUUCUUACCAGCCCCCUCUCCAGCAUGUCUUUACUCAUAAGAGUCCUGGAGAAAAAAAAAGAUUGAGAAACAAGAAAGCAAUGUUUUCCUCCUAUGACCUGUUCAGCGUGUUUCAUAAUGAAAACAAAGAAAGCCAUUCACUUGCUCUUAGAAAUUUGGACAUGUUCAACACUAAAAUUUGCCAAGAAAAAUGUGCCCUGGAGAGAGACACUGCCCAAGAGCCGUGUGUUCUCCUUGGUGACAAAACAAUCUUUGCACUGUCUCCUAAUUGACUAUCAUGUGGAGAGAAUCAAAAGCUACCUUUGUCUCUUGAUGAUCAAUACAAACUGGGAUCGUAGCAUGCACACAGGAAUCAAGUCACUGUACACUCUGACACACAGCAGAUAAAAGGAUAUCACCUUCAUUGCAGAGCACUAUAUCAAAUUUGAGCAUAGAUUUUCUACUUGUGAAAUUAAAAAAAAAAAAAAAUGAAAUCCUUCUCACAACAACUGGAGCUGAACACACAAUAGCCCUGCCAACAGCUUGAGCCAAAUCCAAUAAAAUAAAGGAAGAUGUUUAUGGCAUUUUAUCCUGUGUCCCAACAGAGCAGCCUGCUGCCACCCGGCAUUCAAGUUCCUCCAUUGUCCACCCUAAUGGCUUAAUAAGACAAAUCCUCAGGAGGAAAAUAGCUACCUGGAAAUGGUUCCAGGAAAAAAUAUGACUUUAUAAAAGGUUGGUUGCAAAUCCCACUACGAAGAGAAGAGCAGGCACUACAAUUAGGGUGUGCAUUCAGGCAAUGCCUCUUGGAGGUUUUCUAUCGCCUUAAAGAAUGAGUUUCCUCAUUGAAGUGUUAGCAAGGCAUGAAUCCAAGAGGGAGCUAUCUGCUAGAAUCAGGUUUUGUGCGUGCGUGGGCGCAUGUGCCCACAUGUGUUCAUCCUGCUAGGAAGUGAAAUGCUUAUACCCCUUUAAACUUGAUGGGGCAGGGGCCUGUAGAGAUAGCUCAGUAGAUGAGAGAACUUGCUAUGUUUGAUCAGUUUCCAGCACCUAGAUCAGGUAACUCAGAAUUGCCUGUAACUCUAGUUCUAGGGGAUCGAAUGACCUCUUCUGUCCUCUGCAGGCACUUGCACACUGGUGUUCAGCACACAGACAGGCACACACACACAUUAAUUUAAAACAAUUAAAUAAGAUGAGGCACGUGUGGCAUAUUUUUGGGACUUGGGGAACAGCCAAGAGAGCAAUGAGUUGAAAAUCUACAGAGAAUGAAAAAGCAAAUGAGACAGGUGGGGCCAUAUCACAGGAGACUCAGAAGGCAGCUGGAUAGAAAAGUGACAGGAAACAGUCGCAACGAAACAACCUCUGGACACAGCUGGGGUUAUCCCAAGCAGACACAAGCAGAAUGUGUUUUUAUGCCUCCAGAGAUUUAAAAAUGUGUUCUUAAAGCACCUACAAUAAAACUUCAUUUUCCUUUUAGUACAAAGUUCUCUUAUCUUUAACAUAUGUAUGUGUGUGUGUAAGUAAUAACCAUCAAAAUAAAUACCCAUAAUAGUUGCAAAACCCCAAGA